GAGGGAGUGGGGUGGGACCCAGCUGUUGGCCAUGGUGACGACACCUGGGUUCUCCCCUCUAG
ensembl:miRNA